CUUUGGCGCUUUAGCUGUAUGA
rnacentral:miRNA from 11 species